GACGAACGCUGGCGGCGUGCUUAACACAUGCAAGUCGAACGGAGUGGCGAACGGGUGAGCAACACGUGGGUGAUCCGCCUUGCACUUCGGGAUAAGCUUGGGAAACAGGGUCUAAUACCGGAUAGUGCAAGAUGAGCUCGCGGCCUAUCAGCUUGUUGGUGGGGUAAUGGCCUACCAAGGCGUCGACGGGUAGCCGGCCUGAGAGGGUGUACGGCCACAUUGGUACUGGGAUACGGCCCAGACUCCUACGGGAGGCAGCAGUGGGGAAGAUUGCGCAAUGGGCGGAAGCCCGAUGCAGCGACGCCGCGUGGGGGAUGAAGGCCUUCGGGUUGUAAACUCCUUACGACAGGGACGCGGUACCUGUAUAAGAAGCACCGGCUAACUACGUGCCAGCAGCCGCGGUAAUAC
rnacentral:rRNA from 1 species